CACCUGGCGCGAAAACCGGAGAAGAAUGGAGGUUUCAGCUGCUCCAGAAGUUAUAGGAUUCGGGAAUUAUACUGACUGAAGAAGAGACAAAGAGAUUCAGAGAUUUACAUUUUCUCACACUCUACAUUGUCACCUGGAGUCAGCUCUGUAACCGUGGCCCCAAGUUUUUGUGAUUUACAUUUUCUCACACUACAUUGUCACCUGGAGUCAGCUCUGUAACCGUGGGCCCAAGUUUUUGUGGAAAUGGCUGAGACCGAUUUCCUCAGUGCCAUGGAGAGAACAACAGUGGGGAUCUAUGUUGUGAAAGACACUGCCAGCAGUGAACCCUCUGAUGUCAGGAUAGUCCUCGAAGGUGUGAUGGUGCUUCAAGAUCUUGAGAAUGUAGCACUUGCUUCUGCAAUGUUGUUUGGGCUCUUAUGCCUUGAACAUGCAGCACCCUACAAAGCUCCGCUACACCUUUGAGGCAUUUCAAAAGAUCAUCAUGGAGCCUCAGCAUCAGACACUUAAUAAUAUGAGCCUGUCAGCUGCAAAAACAGAACUUUUAGUGACACUAACUGACCAUGCACAGUUGCCCUAUAUAACGUUGCAGCCCGGUUCACAGCAAUCUUGCUCAAUGCUGGACCAAUUUUCAUGAAUUAACCACUAGA